rnacentral:rRNA from 1 species
CGGCGGACGGGUGAGUAACGCGUGGGUAACCUGCCUCAUACAGGGGGAUAACAGUUAGAAAUGACUGCUAAUACCGCAUAAGCACACAGAACCGCAUGGUUCGGGGUGAAAAGCCGAGACGGUAUGAGAUGGACCCGCGUCUGAUUAGCUAGUUGGAGGGGUAACGGCCCACCAAGGCGACGAUCAGUAGCCGGCCUGAGAGGGCGGACGGCCACAUUGGGACUGAGACACGGCCCAGACUCCUACGGGAGGCAGCAG